rnacentral:rRNA from 1 species
GGGUCAGUAGGUUGGUCGUGCCACCGGUACGUACUGGUCUCACUGAUUCCUCCUCCCUGAAGAACCGUAAUGCCAUUAAUUUGGUGUUGCGGGGAAACAGGACUGCUACUUUGAAAAAAUUAGAGUGUUUAAAGCAAGCUAACGCUUGAAUACAUUAGCAUGGAAUAAUGAAAUAGGACGAUCGAUCCUAUUUUGUUGGUUUCUAGGAUUGACGUA